UACGGAGGGUGCAAGCGUUAAUCGGAAUUACUGGGCGUAAAGCGCACGCAGGUGGCUGAGUCAGUCGAUUGUGAAAGCCCUGGGCUUAACCUGGGAAUUGCAGUCGAUACUACUCAGCUAGAGUAUGGGAGAGGGUAGUGGAAUUCCCGGUGUAGCGGUGAAAUGCGUAGAUAUCGGGAGGAACAUCAGUGGCGAAGGCGGCUACCUGGCCCAACUACUGACACUCAGGUGCGACAGCGUGGGAGCAACAGG
rnacentral:rRNA from 1 species